rnacentral:rRNA from 1 species
AACGAACGCUGGCGGCAUGCCUAACACAUGCAAGUCGAACGAGAUCUUCGGGUCUAGUGGCGCACGGGUGCGUAACGCGUGGGAAUCUGCCCUUUGGUUCGGAAUAACAGAUGGAAACGACUGGUAAUACCGGAUGAUGACGAAAGUCCAAAGAUUCAUCGCCAGAGGAUGAGCCCGCGUAGGAUUAGCUAGUUGGUGUGGUAAAGGCGCACCAAGGCGACGAUCCUUAGCUGGUCUGAGAGGAUGAUCAGCCACACUGGGACUGAGACACGGCCCAGACUCCUACGGGAGGCAGCAGUGGGGAAUAUUGGACAAUGGGCGAAAGCCUGAUCCAGCAAUGCCGCGUGAGUGAUGAAGGCCUUAGGGUUGUAAAGCUCUUUUACCCGGGAUGAUAAUGACAGUACCGGGAGAAUAAGCUCCGGCUAACUCCGUGCCAGCCGCCGCAGUAACAC